rnacentral:siRNA from 1 species
AUGAUCGUCUACUUUUACUACUAC